rnacentral:lncRNA from 1 species
CUCUGGACCAGACGCCGCCUGCACGGGUGGGGACGCUGGUCGCUGCCGGGGGCAAGUCUGCCGACUCCAGAAAGAAAGGCGAAAGAAUAGAUUGUGAAGCUAAGUGCUGUGAGGGAAACCAGAGGCAGCUGAGAUGUCGUGGAAGUAACAGCGAAUGAAGCCAGGAUGCUGGAUUCUGACCUUGGAACUGUUCUGAAGAUAUGGUCCUGUCAUGUUGCCCAGGCUGAUCGUGAACUCCAGGCCUCAAGCAA